ensembl:snRNA U6 U6 spliceosomal RNA
CUGCUUCGGCAGCAGAUAUACUAAAAUUGGAACCACACAGAAAAAAUUAGCAUGACCCCUGUGCAAGGAUGACAUGCAAAUUUGUGAAGCGCUCCACAUUAAA